GGUGAAGAACGCAGUGAAAUGCGAUAAGUAAUGUGAAUUGCAGAAUUCAGUGAAUCAUCGAAUCUUUGAACGCACCUUGCGCCCUUUGGCCAUUCCGAAGGGCAUGCCUGUUUGAGUAUCAUGAACACCUCAGCUCUUUAUGGUUUUCCAUGAUGAGCUUGGACUCUGGGGGUUUUGCUGGCUCACAGUCGGCUCCUCUAAAAUGAAUCAGCUUACCAGUGUUUGGUGGGUAUCAUGGGUGUGAUAACUAUCUACGCUUGUGGUUUUUCCACCAGGUAACCCUCAGCAGUGGAGGUUCGCUGGAGCUCAUAGAUGUCUCUCCUCAGUGAGGACAGCCCUUUGAAUGUUUGAUCUCAAAUCAGGUAGGACUACCCGCUGAACUUAAGCAUAUCAAUAAGCGGAGGA
rnacentral:misc_RNA from 1 species